AGAGUUUGAUCAUGGCUCAGGAUGAACGCUGGCGGUAUGCUUAACACAUGCAAGUCGAACGGAGUGCUUCGGCACUUAGUGGCGGACGGGUGAGUAACGCGUGAGAAUCUGGCUUCGGGUUCGGGACAACAGUGGGAAACUGCUGCUAAUACCGGAUGUGCCUAAAGGUAAAAGAUUAAUUGCCCGAAGAUGAGCUCGCGUCCGAUUAGCUAGUUGGUGUGGUAAGAGCGCACCAAGGCGUCGAUCGGUAGCUGGUCUGAGAGGACGAUCAGCCACACUGGGACUGAGACACGGCCCAGACUCCUACGGGAGGCAGCAGUGGGGAAUUUUCCGCAAUGGGCGAAAGCCUGACGGAGCAAUACCGCGUGAGGGAGGAAGGCUCUUGGGUUGUAAACCUCUUUUCUCAGGGAAGAACAAAAUGACGGUACCUGAGGAAUCAGCAUCGGCUAACUCCGUGCCAGCAGCCGCGGUAAUACGGAGGAUGCAAGCGUUAUCCGGAAUGAUUGGGCGUAAAGCGUCCGCAGGUGGCUUAUCAAGUCGAUUGUCAAAGGUCCUGGCUCAACUGGGAACAGGCAGUGGAAACUGAAAAGCUAGAGUGCGGUAGGGGUAGAGGGAAUUCCCGGUGUAGCGGUGAAAUGCGUAGAGAUCGGGAAGAACACCAGUGGCGAAAGCGCUCUACUAGGCCUGCACUGACACUCAUGGACGAAAGCUAGGGGAGCGAAUGGGAUUAGAUACCCCCGUAGUCC
rnacentral:rRNA from 1 species